rnacentral:lncRNA from 1 species
CCUUUAACAACUAACUCAGAGUAGUAACAGAUACAUGUACCAGUAAGAUUCAAUGUCUUAUCAAAGGAGGGUUUUUUUUUCAACAGUUUGUUAAAAUCAGAUGUUUAUAGGUUAAUGCAACCAAUUGAUUUACAAAUAUACCAAGCACUGAAGUUGUAUAAACAAUUCAUAUUCUGAACUUGAUUGGCAUGCAGAUAUAAGAAAUUGACUCCUAAAAAAAUCAAUGAAAAAAAUACAAAAUAGUCAAAAAUUAUUAUUGAAAUGGAGGAUAACUAGCUGGUGUUGCUGAAUAACUUAAAUGAAAAUGAAUCAUUAUAAAUUCAGAAACUUGAUGGUUUCAAAAGACAUGUGACAUAAAUGAGCACAUCAGAUCUCUCUUUUCUAACUAUCACAACACAACCUCACAAUAUCAACAUAAGACUGCUUUCAGUGGGUAACAGUAUUUGUACUAAAUCUGUAAAUAAAUAAUGGAAGCAUGAAUGUGAAAUCUGGUAAUGGAAAACAAUCUGAUAGAAUAUCUGGAAAGAAAAGGAUUUUUAUUUUAAGUUCAAGUAUUGUUACUGCCUGUUAAGACUGUAAAAUACAGGUAUGAUUGUUUUGAAAUAUAAUUUCAUAAACUGUAAACCAAAUGAUAUUUGCAACUUUCACAAGUAAAAAAAAAAA